ACUCCUACGGGAGGCAGCAGUGGGGAAUAUUGGACAAUGGGCGAAAGCCUGAUCCAGCCAUGCCGCGUGUGUGAAGAAGGUCUUCGGAUUGUAAAGCACUUUAAGUUGGGAGGAAGGGCAGUAACCUAAUACGUUAUUGUUUUGACGUUACCGACAGAAUAAGCACCGGCUAACUCUGUGCCAGCAGCCGCGGUAAU
rnacentral:rRNA from 1 species